rnacentral:sRNA from 12 species
UUGCCCUUUGUAUGGUGGCGGCAGUGGAAACACCCGCGCGGUUACUCUUAAGACCGAGCAACACCUAAGCAGAGGGCGUUU